GUGUAUGGCCAUACCACCCUGGAUGCACCCAAUCUCAUCUGAUCUCGGAAACGAAGCAGAGUCUGGCCUGGUUAGUACUUGGAUGGGAGGAAGAAUGUCAACUCUAGAGAUUUAGAAU
rnacentral:rRNA from 1 species